rnacentral:rRNA from 1 species
ACGCUCGACACCUACGGGGGCAGCAGUCGGGAAUAUUGCGCAAUGGAGGAAACUCUGACGCAGUGACGCCGCGUAUAGGAAGAAGGUUUUCGGAUUGUAAACUAUUGUCGUUAGGGAAGAUACAAGACAGUACCUAAGGAGGAAGCACCGGCUAACUAUGUGCCCGCAGCCGCGGUAAUCUGAGCGGGCUGGCAAGGC